CUUAAAUUGAAGCUCUUGAUAUGAUUGAUGGUCGUGGAUCGUUUAGGGGAUUCCUAGUUUGGCCAAGAUCUAGCCAAAAAUUCGCAAAGGCUGUUUUUCUUCUCCCUUCGAUCUACAUGAUUUCAGAGACUGUUGGUGAUAAGGCUAGUCGAAAAAGAUGUCCCACAUCGAGAUGCAUCGAAUGGGAGUGGUGGCGUGGAUGGAUGAUGGCUCGAACGACUGGUUUAUCCUAGCGGGUCCAAGGGUCGACUUACCACGUUUCGCAAGAUUUCAAUGUUCUCUGGCGGGUUCUUAACUUUUGUCUGGGAGGCUUGCUGGGGAAGAGGAAGUGCAUUGAGGAUGAUAGGCGAUUAUGGGUGUGGCUGGAAAGGGAAAGCUGAAAGGGGGAGAAUCGGGAGGAGAGAGACUGCGUGGCGUGAGGCAGAGGGAAGAAAAAGCUAAGGGAGUCAUAUCAUAACUUUACGUUUAUUUGUGCAAAAUUACAUUUUGGUGCAGCCUAAAACUUUUAUUUAAAGAGGCCCAAAUACUUUUCAAUUAAGCCCCUGAACUUAGUUUCUUCAUAUUUGUUUAAUUUGUCAAAACGAUACCGGCCAGAUUUAACAUGAAAAUAAAAAUAAUUAAAUCCAUCAAAUUUCAACAAAUUUUUUUAAAAUCAGUGAUAUUUAAAUCUAAAGUUCUCUUGUUUAAAACAAAAUAAAUUAUAAAAAUUCGAUACAUUACAGAUAAUACUCAACUAAUCUCUCAUGUUUUAUAAAAAGAAAAAAAAAUCAUAAGUUCAACCUUUAUCAUUUUACUAUGACUUAGUUAAACAAAAUAAACCUUUACUUUAAG
rnacentral:misc_RNA from 1 species